UACGGAAGGCAGCAGUGGGGAAUAUUGCACAAUGGGCGCAAGCCUGAUGCAGCCAUGCCGCGUGUAUGAAGAAGGCCUUCGGGUUGUAAAGUACUUUCAGUCGUGAGGAAGGUGUUAAGGUUAAUAACCUUAGCAAUUGACGUUAGCGACAGAAGAAGCACCGGCUAACUCCGUGCCAGCAGCCGCGGUAAUACGGAGGGUGCGAGCGUUAAUCGGAAUUACUGGGCGUAAAGGGCACGCAGGCGGUUAAUAAGUUGGAUGUGAAUCCCCGGGCUUAACCUGGGAAUGGCAUUCAAGACUGGUUAGCUAGAGUCUUGUAGAGGGGGUAGAAUUCCAUGUGUAGCGGUGAAAUGCGUAGAGAUGUGGAGGAAUACCGGGUGGCGAAGGCGGCCCCUGGGACAAAGACUGACGCUCAUGUGCGAAAGCGUGGGGAGCAAACAGGGAUUAGAUACC
rnacentral:rRNA from 1 species